rnacentral:sRNA from 1 species
AUGGGUUGGAAGAUGGCGUCUCCCACAGACGGGACAGAUCUGGAAGCAUCUUUGCUAAGUUUUGAAAAACUUGACCGUGCCUCACCAGAUCUUUGGCCAGAACAAUUACCAGGUGUUGCUGAAUUUGCAGCUUCCUUCAAAAGUCCUAUUACUAGUUCUCCACCCAAAUGGAUGGCUGAGAUAGAACGUGAUGACAUCGACAUGUUGAAAGAACUGGGGAGUCUCACCACGGCUAAUUUGAUGGAGAAGGUUCGAGGCCUACAGAACCUAGCCUAUCAGCUGGGGCUGGAUGAGUGGUCUCCCUCUGUCACCCAGGCUGGAGUGCAAUGGUGUGAUCUUGGCUCACUGCAACCCCUACCUCCCGGGCUCAAGCAAGUCCCCCACCUCAGCUUCCCAAGUAGCUGGGACUACAGGUGUGAGCCACUGCGCCCGGCCAGAAAUGCUUUUUUAAUAUAACUGAGAUUAGUGUGUGUGUGUGUGUGUGUGUGUGUGUGUAGUUUUAACUUGUGCUUUAAAAAAUUUUAUUCUAUCUUAAGCAUUUUCCUGUGUCAUUAAAAGUUCUACCACUAAAGAUUUU